GGCGAACGCUGGCGGCGGGCUUAACACAUGCAAGUCGAACGGAAAGGCCCUGCUUUUGUGGUGUGCUCGAGUGGCGAACGGGGGAGGAAGACGUGAGUAACCUGCCCUUGACUUUGGGAUGACUUCAGGAAACUGGGGCUAAUACCGUAUAGGAGAUGCUGCUGCAUUGUGGGGGUUGGAAAGUUUCGGCGGGUGGGGAUGGACGCGCGGCUUAUGAGCUUGUUGGUGGGGUAGUGGCUUACCAAGGCUUUGACGGGUAGCCGGCCUGAGAGGGUGACCGGCGACCUUGGGACUGAGAUACGGACCAGACUCCUACGGGAGGCAGCAGUGGGGAAUAUUGCACAAUGGGCGGAAGCCUGAUGCAGCAACGCUGCGUGCGGGAUGACGGCCUUCGGGUUGUAAACCGCUGUCGCCUGUGACGCAGCGUGAGUGACGGUAAUGGGUAAAGAAGCACCGGCUAACUACGUG
rnacentral:rRNA from 1 species